ACAGUACAAACUAAGCAGAACUUAUACUUAAGUACGUGGGGCUGGGCCUAAAUAGGCAGCAGGAUUUUUAUAACCAGUGGGGCAGGA
rnacentral:ncRNA from 2 species